rnacentral:rRNA from 1 species
UCAUGAUAACUUUACGGAUCGCAUGGCCCUUGCGCCGGCGACGGUUCAUUCAAAAUUUCUGCCCUAUCAACUUUCGAUGGUAAGGUAUUGGCUUACCAUGGUUUCAACGGGUAACGGGGAAUUAGGGUUCGAUUCCGGAGAGGGAGCCUGAGAAACGGCUACCACAUCCAAGGAAGGCAGCAGGCGCGCAAAUUACCCAAUCCCGACACGGGGAGGUAGUGACAAUAAAUACUGAUACAGGGCUCUUUUGGGUCUUGUAAUUGGAAUGAGUACAAUUUAAACCUCUUAACGAGGAACAAUUGGAGGGCAAGUCUGGUGCCAGCAGCCGCGGUAAUUCCAGCUCCAAUAGCGUAUAUUAAAGUUGUUGCAGUUAAAAAGCUCGUAGUUGAAACUUGGGUCUGGCUGGCAGGUCCGCCUCACCGCGUGUACUUGUCCGGCCGGGCCUUCCUUCUGGAGAACCUCAUGCCCUUCACUGGGCGUGUUGGGGACCAGGACUUUUACUUUGAAAAAAUUAGAGUGUUCAAAGCAGGCCUUUGCUCGAAUACGUUAGCAUGGAAUAAUAGAAUAGGACGUGCGGUCCUAUUUUGUUGGUUUCUAGGACCGCCGUAAUGAUUAAUAGGGACAGUCGGGGGCAUCAGUAUUCAAUUGUCAGAGGUGAAAUUCUUGGAUUUAUUGAAGACUAACUACUGCGAAAGCAUUUGCCAAGGAUGUUUUCAUUAAUCAGUGAACGAAAGUUAGGGGAUCGAAGACGAUCAGAUACCGUCGUAGUCUUAACCGUAAACUAUGCCGACUAGGGAUCGGGCGAUGUUCUUUUUCUGACUCGCUCGGCACCUUACGAGAAAUCAAAGUUUUGGGUCUGGGGGAGUA